CCUGGCGCUCCCUGUACCUUAGGAGACAACUGAAAGGUACAUCGGGGACAGAAGCCCCAGGCACCCGAGACCCACUCGGGAGCCCUGGGCUGCUCAGCCACACAACUCAGGAAGUGGCUGAUAGCAGCUGCUCUCCAUCAGGCCCUUGGCCACCAGGACCCCACCACAUCGCCACCUCCUGGAACAGAAUGUGAAAGAUGAAGUCACCAAAGAACCAGCUGCACAUCUUCCUGGAAGGUCUGGGCCGUGUGGGUGACAAGCCUGUUUCUGCAUCUUGCCCACUGCCCAGACAGCGAGGGUACCACCACUCCACACCACUCAGCACCCGGCCGACACCUCUCACCUGAUGCCCGUGGAGUGUGUAGAGCA